UUGAAAGGGACUGGGGCGUGUACAACAGGCCUGGGUAUGCCACCUUGGAAGUUACGUCACCAGCCUUAGACACAGAUCACAACUGAUCUGUUCAUCGUUGAUUAAUAUUAAUACUGAUUCUUAAUAUUAAUACUCUUAAUAAGUCCCCAGUUUCUUUUACUGUAAAAACACUUAAUGUCUGAGGCACAAUAUGAAAGCUGCGCUUGAAUGAAACCAGAGUGUUUGCAGCAGUGUGAUAUGAGAGAUGUGAAAGAAGUGCCGGUGUCAAAUACCUGGAUGAGCACUGUGUUUUUUACUGUUGCUAAUGAAAAUGGAUGUUAUCAGGGAAUAACACGCGUCAGAAUCUUGUGGCUGAAUAAUAACACACCUCAGAAUGUUUUGAAUUAAUGUUUUUCAACUCGUGCUCAGUGUGAAAUGGCCUUUAAGCUAGAGAACUCUUAGUUUAAGGUCAAGCUGACUUAAAAAAAAAAAAAAAAAAAAAACAUUCAUUAUUACAACAAAUUAGUAAUCAUUAAAACCAAAUAAAUACUUCCUAUUUUAUAUUUUGAUAUGGGGUGUUAUUUUACACUGUAAGGCAUACUAGCAGGAUCUGAUACAGUGCCUAGUGCCCUAAAUGAUAUCACAAAUCACAGUACGCUUUUAACACAUUUAUCAGGUUCAAAUGCAGAUUUUAUUUUUUUUCCCUCAAAACACAGUACUGCUGUAUGUUUUACACAACAGUGAAACUGUUCCAAAAUACAUUAGUUAUCACUCCAUUGAACAUUAUUUGUUUGUGUGUACAUUUCUGUCUCUGUUCAGUUUGGACCAUGGAGGACAUUUCAGGAUCGUUCCAGGACUGAAAAAAUAUGCCUUUGAUCUCACACUGGAUCCAAACACGGCACACACUCGUCUCAUUCUCUUUGAAGGGAACAAAAAAACAAAAUGUGUUAAAGAGCAUCAGCCGUAUCUUGAUCAUCCAGAGAGAUUCAUUCACCAUGAGCAGGUUUUGUGUGUUGAGAGACUGACUGGACGCUGUUACUGGGAGGUUGAAUGGAGCGGCUGGAGUCAUGUAGCAGUGUCAUAUAAAGGAAUCAACAAGAAAGAAGGAAGUGACAGUCGGUUUGGACUCAAUGAGAAUUCUUGGAAUCUUUACUGUUGUGAAACAAUUUAUUGUGCCUGGCACAAAAAUAAUAACAUAAACAUUCCUCCCUCGUCA